rnacentral:lncRNA from 1 species
GCGAAUAAAGGGCUCUACCUAUCGUGGAAUCAGUCCAGCUAGAUCCCCGUCCCACCCGGACGGCAGUCGCCCCUCUGCGUUAACCCUUCCACUGCCCUAGUGAGGUGGGAAAGGGGGUCCUUGAGAGCCCUAUGGCCCAGGAGAGACCGGGCAGAACUGAUUCGGCCAAGGGCAGCAUGAGGUGUGGGAGGAGCACGGCACAAGGAGUCAAGCCUCCUGCGUUCUAGCCCAGGCUCUCUUCGCACAGAGGCCUUAGGCAAGACCCUCCCCCGGAUGGAGACCGGAUUCCGUGAUUUUCUAAACACCAGCUACCAGAGCUUAUGACUCUGAGGGGCCAAACCAGGGAAGAUGAGGCUCCCUUUGCACCCAAAAUUUGGGGAGAGGCAAAAGGGGACCGGAUGCCCUAGCGUGGCAGAAUCCGGCGAAGGUUCGCAAAAAUUACAGCCUGACUCACAUAACCAGGACAGGAUGUCUGGCACCUGCUCACCCAGGGAUCCUUACAUAGCAGAACCUAGAGGCUUAACUCCCAACCUGUUACUAAGAUGGCUCGG